rnacentral:rRNA from 1 species
CCUACGGGAUGCUGCAGUGAGGAAUAUUGGUCAAUGGACGAGAGUCUGAACCAGCCAAGUAGCGUGAAGGAUGACUGCCCUAUGGGUUGUAAACUUCUUUUAUAUGGGAAUAAAAUGUUCCACGUGUGGGAUUUUGUAUGUACCAUAUGAAUAAGGAUCGGCUAACUCCGUGCCAGCAGCCGCGGUAAUACGGAGGAUCCGAGCGUUAUCCGGAUUUAUUGGGUUUAAAGGGAGCGUAGGUGGAUUGUUAAGUCAGUUGUGAAAGUUUGCGGCUCAACCGUAAAAUUGCAGUUGAAACUGGCAGUCUUGAGUACAGUAGAGGUGGGCGGAAUUCGUGGUGUAGCGGUGAAAUGCUUAGAUAUCACGAAGAACUCCGAUUGCGAAGGCAGUUCACUGGACUGCAACUGACACUGAGGCUCGAAAGUGUGGGUAUCAAACAGGAUUAGAUACCCUUGUAGUC